rnacentral:antisense_RNA from 1 species
AGAACAAUGAAUUCCUUCAAGGCUCUGGGCAGACAUUUCAAACAGUGGCUACUAGACAGGCUUGGCAUAGCUUAGACUCAAUUAUAGCUAGAAUUAUUUUAUUUCUGGAUGCUGCAUCUUAGUCCAGGGAUUUUUAAAGUGUGGUUCCUGGAAGAGCUGGAUCAGAGUCAUCUGUGUUGAUGGUUUAACGUAAAGAUUUUCGGGCCCCAAGACUCAAGUAGGACAAGGAAUUUGAAUUUUUAAGCAGCUCACCUGACUUGUCUGUCCUCUAAUGUCUGAGGACAUCUGACCUCUGCUCUUUCAGUAAAAGCAACAAUGGUUUUAUGAGCAUCGUCGUCACAUCUCUCCACUCGAGGGAUCCUUCUCAUUUCUCCCAGCUGAGGUCACCCACAGCUGCUACUUCUAACUGCUGGCUUCCAGCCUGCUGUCUGCCAGCUGGCUCUACCCUCUCCUAUAACACAGCAGAGAGUAGCUGUGGUCUCCUGCGUGCUCACCCUCCGCUCCCUUGGGUCCAUGCUUUGGUCCUGCACUUAAAUUUUACAAGCAUACUCUCUUUCUCUUAAGUAACUGCCUGUAAAGCCAAGAAGUGGAGUGACGGGGUGGUGUUGAAGGUGGCAGAUUGAUGAAGAUAAGGAGAAAUGAAUUUGGAAAAGGAGGGAGGAGCAAACCAAUGAAGAGUUGUAAGAACCAGAAAAGCAAUUCUGAAUUAGAUUUAGAAGUGGCAGAAUGACAAGGUGAAGUUUUCUAUAGGGAGAAAGUUGCUAGGUUGCCUCAUUUGAGACAGCCUGGAAUUUUUGAAAAGUGGAAAUUAAAAAAAAAACUAGA